rnacentral:tRNA from 1 species
GCCUGGCUGGCUCAGUCGGUGGAGCAUGCAACUCUUGAUCUCAAGGUUGUGAGUUCCAGCCCCAUGUUGGGUG